rnacentral:rRNA from 1 species
UACGUAGGGUGCAGGCGUUAAUCGGAAUUACUGGGCGUAAAGCGUGCGCAGGCGGUUGGGCAAGACAGAUGUGAAAUCCCCGGGCUUAACCUGGGAACUGCAUUUGUGACUGCACGGCUAGAGUGUGUCAGAGGGGGGUAGAAUUCCACGUGUAGCAGUGAAAUGCGUAGAUAUGUGGAGGAAUACCGAUGGCGAAGGCAGCCCCCUGGGAUAACACUGACGCUCAUGCACGAAAGCGUGGGGAGCAAACAGG